UACAGGGGGGGCAAGCGUUGUUCGGAAUUACUGGGCGUAAAGGGCUCGUAGGUGGCCAACUAAGUCAGACGUGAAAUCCCUCGGCUUAACCGGGGAACUGCGUCUGAUACUGGAUGGCUUGAAUCCGGGAGAGGGAUGCGGAAUUCCAGGUGUAGCGGUGAAAUGCGUAGAUAUCUGGAGGAACACCGGUGGCGAAGGCGGCAUCCUGGACCGGCAUUGACGCUGAGGAGCGAAAGCCAGGGGAGCAAACGGG
rnacentral:rRNA from 1 species